AGAGUUUGAUCCUGGCUCAGGAUGAACGCUAGCGGCAGGCUUAACACAUGCAAGUCGAGGGGCAGCGGGUUGUAGCAAUACAAUGCCGGCGACCGGCGAAAGGGUGCGUAACGCGUGAACAAUCUGCCCGUAUCCGGGACAUAAGCGAUGGAAACGUCGUCUAAUUUCCCAUAACAACAGGGGCCGCAUGACAUCUGUUUGAAAGAUCCGUCGGAUACGGAUGAGUUCGCGAGACAUUAGCUAGUCGGCGUGGUAACGGCACACCGAGGCGACGAUGUCUAGGGGUUCUGAGAGGAAGGUCCCCCACACUGGAACUGAGACACGGUCCAGACUCCUACGGGAGGCAGCAGUGAGGAAUAUUGGUCAAUGGGCGCAAGCCUGAACCAGCCAUGCCGCGUGCAGGAAUGAGGCCCUAUGGGUCGUAAACUGCUUUUGUGGUGGAGCAAUAAGACGUACGCGUACGUCGAUGAGAGUACAUCACGAAUAAGCAUCGGCUAACUCCGUGCCAGCAGCCGCGGUAAUACGGAGGAUGCAAGCGUUAUCCGGAUUUAUUGGGUUUAAAGGGUGCGUAGGCUGUUCGGAAAGUCAGGGGUGAAAGCCCGGCGCCUAACGCCGGAACUGCCUUUGAUACUUUCGAGCUGGAAUACGGAUGCCGUGGGAGGAAUGAGUAGUGUAGCGGUGAAAUGCAUAGAUAUGUCACAGAACACCGAUCGAGAAGUCAGGUCACGAGUUCGCAACUGACGCUCAUGCACGAAAGCGUGGGGAUCAAACAGGAUUAGAUACCCUGGUAGUCCACGCCGUAAACGAUGAUCACUCGUUGCCGGGCAGCGAUGUUCGGUGGCCAAGCGAAAGCGAUAAGUGAUCCACCUGGGGAGUACGAUCGCAAGGUUGAAACUCAAAGGAAUUGACGGGGGCCCGCACAAGCGGAGGAGCAUGUGGUUUAAUUCGAUGAUACGCGAGGAACCUUACCCGGGCUUGAACGUAAGACCAAGACACAGGAGACUGUGUCGCCUUCGGGGGUUUUGCGAGGUGCUGCAUGGUUGUCGUCAGCUCGUGCCGUGAGGUGUUAGGUUAAGUCCUGCAACGAGCGCAACCCUUACCUUCAGUUGCCAGCACGUAAUGGUGGGGACUCUGGAGGAACUGCCUACGCAAGUAGAGAGGAAGGUGGGGAUGACGUCAAAUCAGCACGGCCCUUAUGUCCGGGGCUACACACGUGCUACAAUGGCGCGCACAGAGGGCAGCGACCCCGCGAGGGGGAGCGAAUCCAUGAAAGCGCGUCUCAGUCCGGAUCGGAGUCUGGAACCCGACUCCGUGAAGUUGGAUUCGCUAGUAAUCGCGCAUCAGCCAUGACGCGGUGAAUACGUUCCCGGGCCUUGUACACACCGCCCGUCAAGCCAUGGAAGAUGGUGGUACCUGAAGUCUGUACCCGCAAGGAGCGGCCUAAGGUAAAACUGUUAACUGGGGCUAAGUCGUAACAAGGUAACC
rnacentral:rRNA from 1 species